UCCACAGCCUCCUUGGGCAACCUGUUCAGUGCGUCACCACCCUCAUUUUGCAUAUGCAAAAUGCAACUGAUGUAGCAGAGUAUAUAGCUGUGCUUUGCAGUUGAAUAUGUGUAUUAAUAACUAAAAGCUAGUGUUAGUGUUGGAGAAAAGAAUAUUUCUGUGGAAAAACCUAACCAAAGCCCCUCUCACAAACAGCACCUUUCAAAACCCCAGGGCUGUAAGGUGUUGAGAAACAAUGAAGUAGGAGAAAUCCAUUCAGCAAUAAUGAUCUUUACCAACUGGGAGUUACGCAUUCAGGUAACAAAGUGAAAUGCUGAUUUCAGAAAGAGGGGAAAUAGGACAGUUUUUCGAUUGAUCAAAUACAAGUAGCAUACAGGGUAGCUGCAGAUGGGAACAGCAUCUCACUUGGUAUAUAAAAGGUGAGGAAUGAGCGUGCUGUUUUGCUGUGGCAGGCAUAAGAAGCAAUAACCAGUGACUUAUUCAGGAGGCAAUAGCUGGCUGCCUGUGCUAAGCGUCACACUUCAGGAGUGUGCUGGGUGCUGUGAACACAAAUGGGAACAGAUUUCUCAAAUUUUUCAAGUGCCUGGCAAAAGAGUACACAAAUCUUUCCUCCAGACAAGCUACUUGAAUUACGAGCCCUUGCUUUUAUACAUAUAUAUGUAUAUAUAUACAUAUUUACCCAAAGGGAAAUUCACAGAUAUGGAAAAUAAUAAAUCUUUCACUGCUUUAUUUGAUUCUUCCUUUGACUCAGCUUCAAAAGACAGACUGUGGGGUUUUAAUCUGACCAAAGGCCAAUGGAGUCAGUGCUUUGUUGGAGGACUGCCAUGGAAAUGGGGAGUGAUGCAGCUCCGGAGGAGGCACAUUACGCUGAGGCACUUUGAUGGUGUGUGACUUGGUUUAAGAAAUUGAAAGUCGACAUAAACCUUGCCUUAAUACUGCAGUCUGUGGAAGGAACAAGCACGGGCUUUCUGAGGGGUGAGGGCUUGCAACACGCGAGGCUUGUGAGCUGUUAGACCAAACAUCUGGGACCUCCAGAAUGGCUGCAUUGAUGGAUCCAGCAGAAGUCACAAAGGCAAACUGGCAGCUGUAUCACUACCAGUUGGUCACCAGCAAUCGUGACUGCAUACUUGAACAGACAUGCCAAAAAUAUUCUCUGCUGUAGGAUUUAUUUGCUAGUUCAGAAGCAUUUUAUAAUAGCAGAUAAAGAAACUCUGUUGGAUUGUCCCCAUUCGUACUCCUAGUAAAAACGAACUAUACAGUGCAAAUGAUAUUUUUCCACCCUUUUUAAUUAGCUAAUAUGCUAUGCGGCAUGGUUUACUUCUGACCCUAUUCUGGGAGGUUAGAAACAUAGACAGCAAUGGGAUACUUUGGUUCUUUUAAUUUGAUCAUCUUAUUUUAAUAUAUAUGUGUACAAAUAGCCAAGAUCUUUCUCUUGGAGGUGAACAAUUCUUUCUAUUACUGAAAAGCUAUACAGAUAAAAUAUGUUGCAUUUAUGUCACUGCAAAAUCCUAAAAUACAUCCAUUGUUCUCAGAUGUCUCGGAGAGUUACUCUUCCUCUGGCAUUGGCUGUUAGGCUGUUUUCACUGUCUUGGGAGCUUCACAAAGGUAUAAGCAACAGCAUGCUUUGUGCAGUGACUUUGAUCUGUAGACUUCAAACAAAUGUGCUAUGCAAGCGUUUGUCACAGACCCAACAGUCUAGCAGGAGCUGGAACCCAUUCUACAGCCAAACCCAGCUGUUUUGAUUCUGUCUUUGUAUCCUCACCUUAGCAGGAACAGGAACGACUUAAAUGGCUUCAGCCUUCAGCUGACCUUAUGUCAAUGCGUAUUCAGGUGAAUCAGGCUAGAUUUUGGAGAGUUAACAGCAUGGAUAAUCACCAAGCAGGGCACACCACUGCAGUCAGAUCCCAGCCAAAAAUAGCGUUCAUAUUCUUGACCCAGGAUGGGGAGAUUAUUUUUUUUCUGUCAGAAGGCUGUAAUGUAGUGGAAACUACAGUUUCAUUCCUAGUGGUUGAAGAUUUUGGUGCUAAGCAGUUUCUUCUGGUAAAAUAUUUUAAGUAGUGACAUAAUUUCCUUUGAAUAACUAUCAUUUUCAAGCCCAGUAAAAGUGAGAGCUUUAUGGGCUGUAUUAACUCAAACAGCCCUUUGGAGAACGUCUAACGUUUUAUGAAUACUUAUUGUCUGCUUUUUCUCCCUACCCUUAAAUAAUGAAAUACCUAACACCUGCAAAUGAGUAAUGACGUCGAGAAAGAAGAUCUAACACUUAGUGCUGCCUGGAAUAUCAGGCAUCAGAAUUUCUCAUUUGUAAACAGGCCUUCUCGCAGGGGUUGCAAAUGUCAGUCGUCAUCUCCGAAGCUGCUGCAGGAAGCGUUCAGACCAUCAGUGGGUGAGUGCACUGUGACUGAUGGCAUGCUGCAAGAAUUUGCCUCGGUUUCAGGCCUCGUGAACCGUAGGGAGUACGGCUGCAAAUGGCUCUUACAGAAGUACAAUGUGAAAGAACUUAGAGAUCAUAUAAACUUCUCUCAUGGGAGCAAAGAGAUGUGGUGUUUCAAAUUUAAUACAAUAAAAACUGAGUUCGGUGCCUGAUCUCUUUUCUUCCUUACCUGACUAUGUUUGCUAUCUAACUUGCUGUGUGGAGCUUGCUAUGGCACUUUUCUUCACCCCAGUGAUCUCAUCUCUCUUUAAUCUUAUUCUUCCCUUUUUUCUUUCCUUUCACACAUCCCCUGCUAGUAUUUACCUAUUUACAAAUGUGGGGAGAACGCUACCACGCAGCUGCAUUUAAAAAGCAGCAUUAGAAAUAAAAGUUCUUAACUUACCAAGCAAAAGGAAGGUGGAUUUUUCUCUAUCCUAAUCCCUCAAAUAUACGGCAAAUUAUAAUGCGGACUUUUAGAACAGUUAAGGCAUAAUUAUUGAGAAGUGAAAGUGUGGCAAUAAAAGCUUCUUUGAAUCUUUGCAUUUUAAAUACAGAGAGAUGAAUCCUAGAAGUCUUGUUUUGGUGGAAAUACUCGUGUAAGAACAGAUUGUUCCAUACCUGUCUCUAUCAAAAUGCAUUUUCUAGGUGAUAGGAUAGAUAAAUAAUGUAACAAGGACAACAAAGCUUGAUUUGCAGGAAUGAACUGACUGUUGGAGGAUGGAGGUUCCCACAGCCCUAGGGGAGAAGCUGAAGCUUGUGCUGAUGAUGGUGGAUGAAACACAAGGCCAGAGCAUGCCCCAUACAGCAGCUGACUUGGCCAGUCCUUGCACAACUCCUCCCUUUUCUGCUAUAAGAAGAGGGCACAUCAUAGACAAAACGCAGGACCAAGGCUCUCAAUGCAGGACCUAGAGGAGGAGUGGUGUUUGGAGCAGCUAUGGAAGGUCUUCCCAACUAUUUCAGCAGAGGUUGUCAGGGGGCACUGGAGCGCUGACGUGGUAUGCUGUUGAGAGAUUCUGCCAUGGUGCCAUGAGCUAUGGACAAAGGACCUCGAGGGUUGUGUGAAAAUCAAGGUACUGUAACAGAUAUCUAUCCUAGAUGCUCAGUCCAUGGAUUAUACUACAGAGCCGCUUACAAAGGUGUAAAGCAUGAGCAGUAUCACCACUGCAAAAUGAAGCAGUUGUAUAAUGCAUACGUAAUUAUAUAUUGCACAAAUAAUGUUAAUGACGCUGCCAAAUGCUAACUGUAUUACUCACUAGAGGGCAGAUUAUAAUCCAUGCUGGGUGCUUUCCUGCUCACUGCCUGUGUCACAAGGAGACAACAGCUCUCAGUGUCUUACAUGCAGGUGGGGGCACAGAGAAGCGAUCUGAGGCCAGUGAGUCUGGUAGCAGUCACAUCCUCCUGUUGAAACAAAGGG